GACGAACGCUGGCGGCGUGCCUAAUACAUGCAAGUCGAGCGGAGCGGCGGACGGGUGAGUAAUGCCUAGGAAUCUGCCUGGUAGUGGGGGAUAACGUCCGGAAACGGGCGCUAAUACCGCAUACUAUCAAAUGAGCAUAGGUCGGAUUAACUAGUUGGUGGGGUAAAGGCCUACCAAGGCGCCGAUCCGUAACUGGUCUGAGAGGAUGAUCAGUAAGACGGGAACUGAGACACGGUCCAGACUCCUACGGGAGGCAGCAGUGGUGAAUAUUGGACAAGGGGCGAAAGCCGGAUCCAGCCAUGCCGCGUGUGUGAAGAAGGUCUUCGGAUUGUAAAGCACUUUAAGUUGGGAGGCGUUACCAACAGAAUAAGCACCGGCUAACUUCGUGCCAGCAGCCGCGGUAAUUC
rnacentral:rRNA from 1 species